rnacentral:ncRNA from 1 species
GCAGAGUAGGACUGCACGCGCCAAGUGCCCGGGAGACGGGGAGUUGUUCCCGGGACGAUAGCAGACGAAUGGAUCUGCUGCGGUGUGCACUCCGCAUCCCGCUGC